GACGUAGGGCACGAGCGUUGUCCGGAUUUAUUGGGCGUAAAGAGCUCGUAGGCGGUUUGUCGCGUCUGCUGUGAAAACCCGAGGCUCAACCUCGGGCCUGCAGUGGGUACGGGCAGACUAGAGUGCGGUAGGGGAGAUUGGAAUUCCUGGUGUAGCGGUGGAAUGCGCAGAUAUCAGGAGGAACACCGAUGGCGAAGGCAGAUCUCUGGGCCGUAACUGACGCUGAGGAGCGAAAGCGUGGGGAGCGAACAGA
rnacentral:rRNA from 1 species